rnacentral:misc_RNA from 1 species
GAUGAAGAACGUAGCGAAAUGCGAUAAGUAAUGUGAAUUGCAGAAUUCAGUGAAUCAUCGAAUCUUUGAACGCAUCUUGCGCUCCUUGGUAUUCCGAGGAGCAUGCCUGUUUGAGUGUCAUUAAAGUUCUCAACCAUGCCAGUUUUCUCUGGUCCAUGGCCUUGGAUGUGGGGGGUUUAUCAUUUAGCUGGCUUUGGAGACAAAGUCGGCUCCCCUGAAAUGCAUUAGUAGUAUUCGAGCAGAAAUCUACCACAGGUGUGAUGAAUUAUCUAUGCCUUGGUAUCAACUGUGUGCACUGCUUUCUCUAACAACAUUUGACAAAUUUGACCUCAAAUCAGGCAGGACUACCCGCUGAACUUAAGCAUAUCAAUAAGCGGAGGA